CACUCUUAUCCCUAGGCUCUGAGCCUCUGACUUUCUGGUCCAGGUAGCAAGUGUCUGCAGGAUUUCUAGACCCCAUGCUCUUACACCAGCUUGUCUAUGAAGAUGGAAGACAAAGCUUUUCUUUCCAAGAAGAAACUGAAAACAUCAACUCAAGUCUUGACUUUGGUUGGGAAAGAGUAACUGCAGUAAUUAGGACCCAAUUGAUGGCAAAGGGGUAUGAUCUAGGUUACCUGAAACUUGGUAAUUUAUGAAGAAAAGGAAUUCAUUUCUUACAGUUAUGGAGGCUGAGAAGUCCAAGGUCCAGGGGCAUAACAGAGACAAGGUCUCACUACGCUGCCUAGGCUCGUCUCAAACUCCUGGACUCAAGCAAUCCUCCUGCCUCGGCCUCUCAAAGUGCUGGGAUUAUAGGCGUGAGCCACCAUGCCCAGCCCCUAUUGCCUUUUGAUCCGUACUUUUUGAUUAAUAUCCUCUAAAACACAUGAAAAUUCACUGUUCCCUCUGUUAGGUGCUCCCAUAGAACACAUAUAGGACCCUAGAAGUCCCAUCUCUUUAGAAAAAUUAUCUUUCUGGGAAAAUACAGAGUUUCUUUUAUAACACAUCUGUGUCUCUGUAUGCUGGCCAAAAGCCUCAAACCCCCAAACAGACCUGAAAUGUUUAUCCCUACCACUACUUCUGAUAAUAGGGGUUUGACUUUGUAUUGCCCACACAUCCCAUUAAAACAUAUAAUGUGA
rnacentral:lncRNA from 1 species